GACGGAGGUGCCUGUUUACCCGCGCCGGACUCACCGCCGCCGCCGCCGCGGGAUCCGAGUGCGGGCGCGGGCGCGGGCGCUCCCGGCGAGCCACGGUGGUGCUGGCUAGAGUGUAUACGUUUGGACCCAAGCUUAACUUUUCCAAUGUGGAAUCCUGGGCCUUCAUUGGUUUUUGGAAGAAGCUGACCGCCUGAAAAGAAAUUAUAAAACAUGAAAAUCGCUUUGAGGUGACCAAGUCCAGAGGCCCCUAACUCCUCCCAAGCUGGAUCUGGGGUGUAAGAACUGUAACUUCAGAUCAUCCAAUGGCAGACCAGAGAAUGGACAUUUCUUCAACCAUCAGUGAUUUCAUGUCCCCGGGCCCCACCGACCUGCUUUCCAGCUCUCUUGGUACCAGUGGUGUGGAUUGCAACCGCAAACGGAAAGGCAGCUCCACUGACUACCAAGAAAGCAUGGACACAGACAAAGAUGACCCUCAUGGAAGGUACCAUGAACCUAGUAAUUUGAACUUCAGCAUCCUUAUAGCCAUUUUCUUUGCACUGUUACACAUUCUAUUACUUGGGGCAGCACCCAUGUCCUCAACUGGAGAUGAGCAAGGAGGCCGUGAGCCUGUGGGCGCUCACUGUGUCCCUCCAA
rnacentral:sRNA from 1 species